rnacentral:rRNA from 1 species
CCGUAGCUAACGCAUUAAGUACCCCGCCUGGGGAGUACGGCCGCAAGGCUAAAACUCAAAGAAAUUGACGGGGGCCCGCACAAGCGGCGGAGCAUGUGGAUUAAUUCGAUGCAACGCGAAGAACCUUACCUGGGUUUGACAUGCACAGGACGUGCCUAGAGAUAGGUAUUCCCUUGUGGUCUGUGUGCAGGUGGUGCAUGGCUGUCGUCAGCUCGUGUCGUGAGAUGUUGGGUUAAGUCCCGCAACGAGCGCAACCCUCGUCCUAUGUUGCCAGCGGGUUAUGCCGGGGACUCGUAGGAGACUGCCGGGGUCAACUCGGAGGAAGGUGGGGAUGACGUCAAGUCAUCAUGCCCCUUAUGUCCAGGGCUUCACACAUGCUACAAUGGCCGGUACAAAGGGCUGCGAUGCCGUGAGGUGGAGCGAAUCCUUUUAAAGCCGGUCUCAGUUCGGAUCGGGGUCUGCAACUCGACCCCGUGAAGUCGGAGUCGCUAGUAAUCGCAGAUCAGCAACGCUGCGGUGAAUACGUUCCCGGGCCUUGUACACACCGCCCGUCACGUCAUGAAAGUCGGUAACACCCGAAGCCGGUGGCCUAACCCCUUGUGGGAGGGAGC